GGCUUUGGGCAGAGGCAGCCAGGGCGCCGGAAGAGGCCUGGAAAUCCACGCGGCUUCCCAAAGACGGCGCCUCUGUUCUGCGGGUUCGUGACGAGGAUUUAUUUCCACCCACUGCGCCUGGGCGCAGGUCUGCGGGUCCGCGCCCACUGCGUGCGGCGCCACGGACCAUGUCGGUGACUGAUCAGGCUUUUGUCACACUGGCCACAGAUGACAUCUACUGCCAGGGCGCCCUGGUCCUGGGGCAGUCACUGAGGAGACACAGGCUGACGAGGAAGCUGGUGGUGUUGAUCACUCCUCAGGUGUCCAGCCUGCUCAGUCUCUCCAAAAGGUGCAAGAUAUCAUCCAGCCACUUGGACUGAGAGCUCAUCCCAAUCCAGUUCCUGAUCAGAUGGGGCCCUGCCACUCGUUCCAGCCAGGUGACCUGGUGUUCGUUAAAAAGUUCCAGAAAGAAGGACUCCUGCUUAGAAAAGACCUCAUACUGUCAUCCUUACCACCCCAAUGGCUCUAAAAGUAGAAAGGAAUGCUUACAUUCAUGACACCCCCUAGUACAAAGCAUGUUUAACUGUAAUCUAUGACUAACUACCCUAAUUACUGGAUUGGCAGAACCCUUUUUCUCCUUCUCUUGUUUAGUCUUCCAACCAUUAUAUAUUAAAAUUAGUUUCUUAAAUUUGUAAAA
ensembl:lncRNA novel transcript